CGCGGUUAUGGCGGAGCGGAGCGCGCAUGCCAGUGGUCCGCUGAAGACGAUCGCGUGUUUUUUUAGGCGGUCUCGCCGCCCGACCGCGC
rnacentral:tRNA from 1 species